rnacentral:misc_RNA from 1 species
GAUGAAGAACGUAGCGAAAUGCGAUAAGUAAUGUGAAUUGCAGAAUUCAGUGAAUCAUCGAAUCUUUGAACGCACCUUGCGCCCUUUGGCUAUUCUGAAGGGCAUGCCUGUUUGAGUAUCGUGAACACCUCAACUCUCAUGGUCUGCCAUGAUGAGCUUGGACUUUGGGGGUCUUGCUGGCCUACUGUCAGCUCCUCUCAAAUGAAUCAGCUUACCAGUGUUUGGUGGCACCACAGGUGUGAUAACUAUCUACGCUUGUGGUUUUCUGCCAGGUAACCUCCAGUGAUGGAGGUUCGCUGGAGCUCACAAAUGUCUCUCCUCAGCGAGGACAGCUUUUUGAACGUUUGAUCUCAAAUCAGGUAGGGCUACCCGCUGAACUUAAGCAUAUCAAUAAGCGGAGGA